GAGUUUGAUCGUGGCUCAGAUUGAACGCUGGCGGCAUGCCUUACACAUGCAAGUCGAACGGCAGCACGGGAGCUUGCUCCUGGUGGCGAGUGGCGAACGGGUGAGUAAUGCAUCGGAACGUUUCCUGGAGUGGGGGAUAACGUAGCGAAAGUUACGCUAAUACCGCAUAUUCUGUGAGCAGGAAAGCGGGGGACCUUCGGGCCUCGCGCUCUUGGAGCGGCCGAUGUCGGAUUAGCUAGUUGGUGAGGUAAAGGCUCACCAAGGCGACGAUCCGUAGCAGGUCUGAGAGGAUGAUCUGCCACACUGGAACUGAGACACGGUCCAGACUCCUACGGGAGGCAGCAGUGGGGAAUUUUGGACAAUGGGGGCAACCCUGAUCCAGCCACGCCGCGUGAGUGAAGAAGGCCUCGGUUGUAAG
rnacentral:rRNA from 1 species